rnacentral:rRNA from 1 species
UACGAAGGGGGCUAGCGUUGUUCGGAAUUACUGGGCGUAAAGCGCGCGCAGGCGGUCUUCCAAGUCAGUGGUGAAAGCCCGGAGCUCAACUCCGGAACUGCCAUUGAAACUGUUGGACUUGAGUACGAGAGAGGUGAGUGGAAUUCCCAGUGUAGAGGUGAAAUUCGUAGAUAUUGGGAAGAACACUGGUGGCGAAGGCGGCUCACUGGCUCGUAAUUGACGCUCAGGUGCGACAGCGUGGGGAUCAAACAGG